CGGGCCUUAGGUGGCCCACGCAUAUGGGUGUGCAGCAUGGGCUGUGCAUGCUUCUCACGUGUGCGGCUUGCUAGGCCAAAAGUUGGGCCUAGAAGGCCAGGUGGCAGGUCGGAUGACCCAGGUCACCUGCGUGCAGGCAUCUCCCCUUUGUGCGUCGUCUCGGACACGCCACUAUCGUCUUCUAGGAUCAAUCUGAAAGACCACAACUCGUCGUUGUUGAUGCUACUUUGGGCCGAUUAUCUUGGUGGCCCAUAAGGCUUCCUGGUCUUGAUGGCAUCGAUGAUCCAUCUUACCCGAUCUAGGCUUGCACGAACAGGAUCCUUGGGCUUCAUAGGAUUGGCCUUUGUCGUCGAAUCUCGACUUCAUUUUCUUGGGGCAGGCUUUUCUUGGGCCUUGUUUCCAUAUUGGCAAGAAAUAUG
rnacentral:lncRNA from 1 species